rnacentral:rRNA from 1 species
UAUCAAUUAAGCGGAGGAAAAGAAACCAACAGGGAUUGCCCUAGUAACGGCGAGUGAAGCGGCAACAGCUCAAAUUUGAAAUCUGGCUCUUUCAGAGUCCGAGUUGUAAUUUGCAGAGGGCGCUUUGGCUUUGGCAGCGGUCCAAGUUCCUUGGAACAGGACGUCACAGAGGGUGAGAAUCCCGUACGUGGUCGCUAGCUAUUGCCGUGUAAAGCCCCUUCGACGAGUCGAGUUGUUUGGGAAUGCAGCUCUAAAUGGGAGGUAAAUUUCUUCUAAAGCUAAAUAUUGGCCAGAGACCGAUAGCGCACAAGUAGAGUGAUCGAAAGAUGAAAAGCACUUUGGAAAGAGAGUCAAACAGCACGUGAAAUUGUUGAAAGGGAAGCGCUUGCAGCCAGACUUGCUUGCAGUUGCUCAUCCGGGCUUUUGCCCGGUGCACUCUUCUGUAGGCAGGCCAGCAUCAGUUUGGGCGGUGGGAUAAAGGUCUCUGUCACGUACCUCUCUUCGGGGAGGCCUUAUAGGGGAGACGACAUACCACCAGCCUAGACUGAGGUCCGCGCAUCUGCUAGGAUGCUGGCGUAAUGGCUGUAAGCGGCCCGUCUUGA